GCGGGGAGAGAAUCCUAAGGUGCGCGGGAAAACCCUCGUUAAGGAACUCGGCAAAUUGCAUCCGUAACUUAGGGAGAAGGAUGACCUUAAGUAAGCGAAAGGGAGAAACCCCUGGAACAGAACAAGGUGGCAGAAAAGAGGCCCAAGCAACUGUUUACCAAAAACACAGGUGCCUGCGAAAGCGAAAGCUGAAGUAUAGGUGCUGACGCCUGCCCGGUGCUGGAAGGUUAAGGAGAGAUGUCAGAGCAAUCGAAGCAUUGAACUGAAGCCCCAGUGAACGGCGGCCGUAACUAUAACGGUCCUAAGGUAGCGAAAUUCCUUGUCGGGUAAGUUCCGACCCGCACGAAAGGUGUAACGAUUUGGGCACUGUCUCAACGAGGGACCCGGUGAAAUUGAAAUACCUGUGAAGAUGCAGGUUACCCGCGACUGGACAGAAAGACCCCAUGGAGCUUCACUGCAGCUUGAGAUUGAAUCUCGGUGAUGCAUGCACAGGAUAGGUGGGAGACUUUGAAGUAUGGGCUUUGGCUUAUACAGAGUCGAUGUUGGGAUACCACCCUUGUAUUGCUGAGAUUCUAACACGGAGGCUAACAACCUCGUGGACCAUCUCAGGUAGGCGGUUUGACUGGGGCGGUCGCCUCCGAAAGAGUAACGGAGGCGCCCAAAGGUUCCCUCAGGUCGGACAGAAACCGACCGAAGAGUGCAAAGGCAGAAGGGAGCUUGACUGCGAGACAGACAAGUCGAGCAGAGACGAAAGUCGGGCUUAGUGAUCCGGUGGUACUGAGUGGAAAGGCCAUCGCUCAACGGAUAAAAGCUACCCUGGGGAUAACAGGCUAAUCUCUCCCAAGAGUUCAUAUCGACGGGGAGGUUUGGCACCUCGAUGUCGGCUCAUCACAUCCUGGAGCUGGAGUAGGUUCCAAGGGUUGGGCUGUUCGCCCAUUAAAGUGGUACGCGAGCUGGGUUCAAAACGUCGUGAGACAGUUUGGUUCAUAUCCAUCGCGGGCGCAAGAAGUUUGAGGGAGGCUGCUCCUAGUACGAGAGGACCGGAGUGGACGGAUCAACGGUGUACCAGUUGUCACGCCAGUGGCACGGCUGGAAAGCCGCAUCCGGAAAGGAUAAACGCUGAAAGCAUCUAAGCGUGAAGCCCGUCCCGAGAUGAGACUUCUCAUCAGCAAUGAGUAAGACCCCUUAAAGACGAUGAGGUUGAUAGGCUGUGAGUGGAAGGCCCGUAAGGGUUGGAGCGACGCAGUACUAAUAGGUCGAGGUCUUAACUUG
rnacentral:rRNA from 1 species